rnacentral:lncRNA from 1 species
CCUCCAUGGCCUCUGCAUCAGCUCCUGCCUCCAGGUUCCUGCCCUGUUUGAGUUCUGUCCUGACUUCCUUUUCGUGAUGAAGUGUGACAUGGAAAUAUAGUGACUCUGGGACGUCAUCCAUUUAUAUCAGUGAAGGGAACAGAUGGCACAGUUGCUUCCUUUCUGCAUAUACAGUGUCCCAAGAAACAGUCCCUGGAUUCAUCCGAGUCCAGUCAUCCAUGAGCAGGGGACCUGCUGCCUCGGAAGCUGCUGUGGAGAGCGUGUGGACAAUUUGAGACAGGCACCAGCUGGUCUUCUGAAGGAUCACUUGUGACACUAGAGAAAGUCUCAUGCUGCUGAGGAGCAGUGUUGGGUUGGAAGAGGAGCACUGUGGGGUGUCAAUGCUAAACUGGGAGAAUGAGAGGCUGUGAGAGAGCUGCCUUGGGAAACCAUGUAAAGAGUGGCCAAGAUUGCAGGUAGUGUCCCCAGUCCUCUACUACAGCUGCUGUCUGUCUGCUGCUGGCUUUGCAUCUUUCAGACUGGCAUUGCUGGUACCAGGCGGGAAAUUUUAGGGGCAACCACCCCUGCCUCCAG